GACGAACGCUGGCGGCGUGCUUAACACAUGCAAGUCGAACGGAAAGGCCCCUUUGGGGGUACUCGAGUGGCGCACGGGUGAGUAACACGUGAGUAACCUGCCCUUGACUUCGGGAUAACUUCAGGAAACUGGGGCUAAUACCGGAUAGGAAUCUUUGCUGCAUGGUGGGGGUUGGAAAGCUUCGGCGGUUUUGGAUGGACUCGCGGCUUAUCAGCUUGUUGGUGGGGUAGUGGCUUACCAAGGCUUUGACGGGUAGCCGGCCUGAGAGGGCGACCGGCCACAUUGGGACUGAGAUACGGCCCAGACUCCUACGGGAGGCAGCAGUGGGGAAUAUUGCACAAUGGGCGGAAGCCUGAUGCAGCAACGCCGCGUGCGGGAUGACGGCCUUCGGGUUGUAAACCGCUUUCAGUAGGGGCGAAGCUUGUGGUGACGGUACCUGCAGAAGAAGCACCGGCUAACUACGUG
rnacentral:rRNA from 1 species